rnacentral:lncRNA from 1 species
GUAUGGAAAGUGCUGGAAUGCAGUAUAGUUUGCUGAACGUGGUACAUCAACUGUUUGAAUCUGCAGCACGGGCAGUAGUGAAGAGGGACCUAACAUUGCUCUACUGGGUCUGAAAAUCAGAUGAGAAAGCCCGUGUGUGCAAAUGAAGUUGUAGUGAGUUGGGAAGAAACAACCACCAGGUGACUGUGCAGCUGAAACAUCCCGAAAUUCCUGUCGCCCCAAAAAUCUACAUGGUGUCAUCCUUUUUGGAGAGAACCCAGCCAGAGCUGCCUCUCAUCCAACCUGCAGACAGGUAGUGACACUUCCAGCCCUACCUGAGACAGAUCUGAAUGCAGAGCACUUCUGCAGGAAUCCACCCCUGUGUGCUCAAAUCAAGAGAGAAGCAGAUUUAUCCUCCAGCUCAGCGAAGGACAUGGUUUCUUUGGACCACGUAUG